UUCUGAAAUUAAAACUAACUUGUAAGUUUCGAUAGUUGAUUUUUAAAAGGAAUUGUCGAAUAACAACUUCGUAUGUCGCAUCUUGACUGGUAUUGCGCCACAUUCCCGGAGCGACGCCACCCAAACGAAGGACCUCAUUAAUAAAAGCUUCUGUGUAAGGGUAAUUCAAAGAAAACGAAUUACGUUGGCGUCGAGUCCCGACCGAAGGCGUUGAUAAUUUCCUGUCGAACACGUUCCUGGCCUUGAGGAUACUUGGCCAAACACAGGAGUAUCCAGCGAAUGGUUGUGAUGGUCGUCUCACCGCCGGCGAUAAACAAAUCGGAGACCAACCAAAGGAGUUGCGUCUCUGUAUAUACGAGAAUUCACAACCCUGAAAAAUGUUGCCGAUAACCAAACGUGACUUAAGUGGAUGUUGUUGUCUCACCGGUAAAGUGAGUCGACGUUCCGCUGCUUUUUAAUUCCUGCAUUUUAACCAGGUAGUCGUACAUCAUGGACUCUUCCACUUCCGAGCUUGAAGUUUCCUCUCUGUACUUCCUGAACUUGGCGAUGAGUUGUUUAAAGUAAACCAAUCUCGUCGAGACGAUUUGCCACAAGCGCACAAAGUUGUGCCACAGUAAAUGCCAAAGACUGCAUCAGAAUUAUUUUUUAAAAUGUUUGAUUUGUUAUGCACUAUUAAAUUAUAUUCAAAUUUGAAUUUACGUGAGUAUGAUGACGUAGUUAUGGGGUCCGGUGAGCUCGACAGCCUGCAAAUUGGUUUCAAGAUUUUUAAUGACUUUUUGCAGGAAAGGAUCGCCCCAUUUGAAUUUAUCGCCGCUGAUCACUGUCCAAAUAAUGUUAUAAACUGCCGUCGCAAUGUUCGGAUGCGGAUCGUGAUUUUCUCCGUUCGUUUUCUAUAAAUGAACUCAUGAAAUUGAAUUUCGCUUUCAGCAUUGAUCUAUGAAGACUUACACCAAUUUGAUGUAGGUAUUCAUCAACCACAUAUUGAAUUCUCUGCUCCAUUGAUUGUUUCCCAAAUCCAUACUUGCGAAAUUCGUGAGUCAGAAAUGUUCGAUGUUCCUUCCACGAUGGUCCGUCAUUGAACACGAUUCCUGGAAAAUCGAAAUACGCCAAUCCCGGCGGCCGUUCGGUGAAUUUGUCCGCCUGAUGGACACACAAACGUUGAGCAACCCUUGCGUCUGAAAUCACGACGACUCGUUGUCGGAAAAACCGCAAGUAGCAAAUCGGUCCCGUCUGAAAACGAAACGUCAUUGUUUGGUCAGCAAAUAGUCUAAGAGUUAUGUUAUCACUUCGCACAAUCAAUAUUUUGAUAAAGAAAUAACUUGUAUAUUGCCUGAAAAGCCCACUGAGAGAACUUGACAAAAGCCGGCUCGCCUUGAAUAAACGUCGAGUGAAUUAAUUCCAUCAAAUUGCCAAAGAUGAGAUUUUGCUUGGGACCAGGAGGUAAGCGAUAAGUUUUCCGAUUUUGACGCCAAUAGAAAUAAAUAAUCGUGACUAAAAAGCCAACCGCCGUCGUUGUGCCAAAGAUAUCCGCCAUUGUGGAGCGAUGAUGCGGUAAUUUUUCGCAAGAUGAAUGUGCUGAAACGCGGGAGGAUAUCUAAAAAGAGCUUGAAACUGAGCAAGGUCACAGCACGUUAUGUCAGAGGAAAGCCGAGUUGCAAGGCGUUCAACUUUCACGAUAACCUUCCUUCACCAACCGUACGAGUUUUUACUGAGACAUUCAAUUCCCUGGAGGUUCUUCAUGACGGAGCGAAAUUUAAUGGUGUCGAUGUCCUAAUAACGUCUGGUUCGGAAUAGUAGAAUUCUUAUCGGCGGCCAUCGUUGUACGCUAUCUAGAGUAAUUUUUAAAUGUAAUGCAUUUUAAAAUAUUUUACCCAGUGGUUCUAACUUUUCUUUCAACCGAUAUCGGAAUAUUGUUGCAAAAAGCGCAAUUUUUCGUAAUUAUUCAUUAAUUAAUGUUCUAAUUACGUAUGCGUCAUUAUAUUAUUUUCCACUGGCACUGGCGCAUGGUAAUAAUAACAAAAUUAAUUUGAAAACUUCGAAAUGCCUUAUCUUCGGGAUUUUUAUUUAAAUUACUUUGACUUUAUAUUAGUUUACAUACGACUGGGGUGUUGGAGGCAUCAUUUAUUCAUUUUACCUGAAUACACUUUCGGUCUUUUAUUUAAAAAUCUUGAUCGACCCAGA